GUGAAUACCUUAUUGCCAGGUUUUGAAUUUUGUCUAGUCGUCCCAACAAUACAUUACUACAGGUAGAAUAGACAUGAGAUCCGUAGUCUAUACGCGAUAAGAUCAAGGCUUUAUAUAGGUCCAGCAUGGUUUUAGGGUUGGUUCCCCAUUUAUGAUGAGCCAGCACCCUUAGGAUGUUUAGUGAUUUCCUGCAAGAUACUACUAAAUUGUCUACAUGUUUUCGUUCAUAAAUAGAACUGGGCCGUAAUGUGGUCUUCGGAGUCGACAGAAGUGUACACAUUUUGUCUUCUCCUCCGACAGUACAAAUCCUACAGCGUUAGCAUUUUUUGUAAUUUUGUUUAUUGCCACUUGCAAUUUACGUGUUAUAUCACCCACCGUUUUACCUGCACAGCAAAUCAUUAAGUCAUCGACAUAUAAACAUUUCUCCACUUCCUCCGCGACAUUUAUAGCAAUUUCAUCAAUGGCAAUACCAAACAGGGAGCAGCUAAGUGUUGACCCCUGCGGUACCCCAUUUUCUAAGACAUGCUCGUUCGAGUAAGUGUCACCGACUCUGACCACAAAUUUCCUGUCUUCUAUAAACGAUUGUAUAAAUUUUGGCAGAUUCCCGCGUAAGUUAUAUUUAAACAUGUUUUUUAAUAUUCCGUGCCUCCAGGUCAUAUCAUAUGCACCUUUUAUGUCAAAAAAGACACCGACCAAAUGUUCGCCAUGAUCGAACGCCCUCAGGAUUUGGUUGCUUAACCUGACCAGGUGGUCAAUCGUCGAUCGCCUCUUUCGGAAGCCGGUUUGAUAUGUUUGCCUAAGCACGAGGUCAAACUUAUUGGGCGAUAGUGCUGUGCCAGCAGCGGAUCUUUUCCCGGCUUUGGAAUAGGAACUACGAUGGCCUGCUUCCAUUCUGAGGGGACUACUGUGGCGAAGCAUUUGGUUAUGGAUGCCAUCCUGUCCCGGUGCACACGAUUUGGUGGUACGAAUUGCAGUGUCUAGUUCUUCUAUGGUAAACGGUUGGUUAUAAUCUAAAUUAUCGUCGGUAUUAAAAUUUAAAGGUG